AAAAAAUAAUCCCCCCGAGUUUUGGCAGGGAAGAUGAUGGGUAAAGAAGACAGCAUGGAGAAUCUAUCUCUCGAGGAUGAUGAAAAGUUCACCUCCAUUUCCAAAUCCUACUCUAACUAUCGCAGUGCCAUGACUUGUCUUUCUGAUUCUCACCAUCCUCUUUCACCGUCGAUCGUCGACGAUAGCAACGACCCCUUAUUAGUAUCUUCUAUUCAAUCAUCCGCCAUUGAUGAUCAUGAUGUUGAACAAUUUCAAAACCCUACAAUAAUCUCCCCUCCUUUAAACUUGGAGUAUUUGAAUAUCACUGUUUCCG
rnacentral:misc_RNA from 1 species